GCCCUGUUGGCACAGUGGUUAAGCGCUUGGUUGCUAACCAAAACAUCGGUGGUUUGAACCCACCAGGCG
rnacentral:tRNA from 1 species